rnacentral:rRNA from 1 species
UACGUAGGUGGCAAGCGUUGUCCGUAUUUACUGGUCGUAAAGAGCGCGCAGGCGGUCGUUCAAGUCGCGUGUGAAAGCCCCCGGCUCAACUGGGGAGGGUCACGCGAUACUGAUCGACUCGAAGGCAGGAGAGGGUAGUGGAAUUCCCGGUGUAGUGGUGAAAUGCGUAGAUAUCGGGAGGAACACCAGUGGCGAAGGCGACUACCUGGCCUGUUCUUGACGCUGAGGCGCGAAAGCUAGGGGAGCAAACGGG